UACGUAGGGACCGAGCGUUGUCCGGAAUCAUUGGGCGUAAAGCGCACGUAGGCGGCCCGGUAAGUCCGUUGUGAAAGUCAGAGGCUCAACCUCUGGAGGCCAAUGGAUACUGCCGGGCUAGAGUCCGGAAGAGGCGAGUGGAAUUCCCGGUGUAGCGGUGAAAUGCGCAGAUAUCGGGAAGAACACCUAUGGCGAAGGCAGCUCUCUGGGACGGUACUGACGCUGAGACGCGAAAGCGUGGGGAGCGAACAGG
rnacentral:rRNA from 1 species